GGACAGAUGGCCGAGUUGGUUAUGGCGCCAGAUUAAGGUUAACCUUAAUAACAUUUUCUGGUCUCGAAAGGGGCGUGGGUUCGAGUCCCACUCUGUUCA